GACGAACGCUGGCGGCGUGCUUAACACAUGCAAGUCGAACGGAAAGGCCCUGCUUUUGUGGGGUGACCGAGUGGCGAUCGGGUGAGUAACACGUGAGUAACCUGCUCUUGACUUUGGGAUAACUUAAGGAAACUGGGGCUACUCCCGGAUCGGAGCUCCUGUUGCAUGGUGGGGGUUGGAACGUCUCGGCGGUUGGGGAUGGACUCGCGGCUUAUCAGCUUGUUGGUGGGGUAGUGGCUUACCAAGGCUUUGACGGGUAGCCGGCCUGAGAGGGUGACCGGCCACAAUGGGACUGAGAGAGGGCCCAGACUGCUACGGGAGGCAGCAGUGGGGAAUAUGACACAAUGAGCGGAAGCCGGAUGCAGCAGCGCCGCGUGCGGGAUGACGGCCUUCGGGGUGUGAACCGCUGUCGCCUGUUACGAAGCGUUUGUGACGGUAAUGGGUAAAGAAGCACCGGCUAACUACGUG
rnacentral:rRNA from 1 species